AUAACGGCAAUAAUGGAUAGAAACUCCACAGAGACAGAAAAUUACGGCAGAAAAUUAACUGACAGGUCAUGAACGACAAGGGAAAUAAUGGAAAUAACGGAAAUAACGGAAAUAACCUUUGAAGACAGAAACAUACGGCAGAAACUUAGGUGACAGGUCAAGAACAACAACGGAAAUAACAGAAAAAACGGAAAUGACGGUAAUAACGGAAAUAACCUCCGAAAGACAGAAACAUACGGCAGAAAAUUAGGUGACAUGUCAAGAACAACAACGGAAAGAACGGAAAGAAAGGAAAGAACGUCCAGAGAGACAGAAAAAUACGGCAAAAACUUAUGUGACAGGUCAAGAACAACAACGGAAAUAACAGAAAAAAACGAAAUUACGGAAAUAAUAACGGAAAUAACAGAAAAAAAUAAUGGAAAUAAUAACGGAAAUAACGGAUAUAACGGAAAUAACGGAAAUAACCUCGACAGAGACAGAAACUUACGGCAGAAAAUUAACUGACAGGUCAAGAACAACAACUGAAAUAACAGAAAAACCCAAAAUAACGGAAAUAAUAACGGAAAUAACAGAAGUAAUAACGGAAAUAACGGAAAAAAUAACGGGAAUAAUAACAGAAAAAAAAUAACGGAAAUAAUAACAGACAUAACGGAUAUAACGGAAAUAACGGAAAUAAACUCCACAGAGACAGAAACAUACGGCAGAAAAUUAAGUGACAGGUCAAGAACAACAACGGAAAUGACGGAAAUAACAGAAAUAACAGAAAUAACCUUUGAAAGACAGAAACAUAAGGCAGAAUACUAGGUGAGAGGUCAAGAACAACAACGGAAAGAACAGAAAUAACGGAAAGAUCCUCCAGAGAGACAGAAAUAUACGGCAAAAAAUUAAAUGACAGGACAAGUACAACAACAGAAAGAACAGAAAAAAAAAAAAAUAACGGAAAUAAUAACGGAAAUAACAGAAGUAACGGAAAUAACGGAAAAAAUAAGAAGAAUAAUAACAGAAAAAAAAAUAACGGAAAUAAUAACAGACAUAACGGAUAUAACGGAAAUAACGGAAAAAAACUCCACAGAGACAGAAACAUACGGCAGAAAAUUAGGUUACAGGUAAAGAACAAAAACGGAAAUAACAGAAAAAAACGAAAUAAAGGAAAUAAUAACGGAAAUAAUGGAAAUAUCGGAAAUAAUGGAAAUAAUCCCUAUGGAGGCAGAAACAUACGGCAAAAAAUUAGGUUACAGGUAAAGAACAACAACGGAAAUAACAGAAAAAACCAAAAUAACAGAAAUAAUAAAGGAAAUAACGAAAAUAAUAACGGAAAUAUCCUCCAGAGAUACAGAAACGUACGGUAGAAAAUUACGUGACUGGUCAAGAACAACAAUGGAAAUUACGGAAAUUACGUAAAUUACGGAAAGAACCACCACAGAGACAGAAACAUAUGGCAGAAAAUUAGGUGACAUGUCAAGAACAAAAACGGAAAGAACGGAAAGAACAGAAAGAACCUCCAGAGACACAGAAACAUACGGCAAAAAAUUAAAUGACAGGUCAAGAACAACAACGGAAAUAAUAGAAAAAAAAAGAAAUAACGAAAAUAAUAAUGGAAAUAACGGAAAAAAAUAACGAAAAUAAUAAUUGAAAUAACGGAAAUAAGGGAAAUAAGAGAAAUAACCUCCACAGAGACAGAAACAUACAACAGAAAAUUAAGUGACAGGUCAAGAACAACAACGGAAAAAACAGAAAGAACGGAAAGAAAUGAAAGAACGGAAAGAACGGAAAUAACCUCCGCAGAGACAGAAACAUACAACAGAAAAUUAAGUAACAAGUCAAGAACAACAACGGAAAUAACGGAAAUAAAGGAAAUAACAAAAAUAACGGAAAUAACGGAAAGAACCUCCAUAAAGACAGAAACAUAGGGCAGAAAAUAUGGUGACAGGUCUAGAACAACAACGGAAAUAACGGAAAUGAUGGUAAUAACGGAAAUAACCUCCGAAAGACAUAAACAUAAAGCAGAAAAUUAGGUGACAGGACAAGAACAACAGAAAGAACAGAAAGAAAGGAAAGAACCUCCAGAGAGACAGAAACAUACGGCAAAAUAUUAGGUGACAGGUCAAGAACAACAACGGAAAUAACAGAAAAAACCUAAAUAAGGGAAAUAAUAACGGAAAUAACAGAAAAAAAUAACGGAAAUAAUAACGGAAAUAACGGAAACAACAGAAAGAACCUACAGAGAGACAGAAAGAUACGGCAGAAGAUUAGGUGACAGGUCAAGAACAACAACGGAAAGAACAGAAAUAACGGAAAUAACAGAAAUAAUAACUGUAAUAAAGGAUUAACUUCCACAGAGACAGAAACAUAAGGCAGAAAAUUAAAUGACACGUCUAGAACAACAACGGAAAUAACUGAAAUAACAGAAAUAACG
ensembl:lncRNA